UGUCAGAAAAAAGGGUACGGUUGGGGUCCGUUUGUGACACUUAGGGUACAAAUUGUGAAGUUGUACCCUCAAUGGGUCAUAGUCGCACCUUAGGGUACUCAUAUGUACCAUUUAGGGGUGAAAAGGGUACAAAUAUGUUUCCAACUGUCAGAGGGUCCAUAAUUGGACCAUUUAAUCCCCAAACAAAGGUACAAUCACUUGUGUGACAAAAGAAGUAGGCCAAAGUGUAUGAAACAGUCACCCCAAAUAGAUUAAACAGAGAAUAUAAUCAUUUUCAUGAGUUGUUGGUUAUUUGGAAGAGAUGCAUAAAAUAACCAAAUAUAUUUAACAGCCCACAUCUUCAAGGAGUAGUUCUGAACAGUACACAAGCACAUGACAUUUUGAUUUUGCAGAUCAUCAAGAUAAUAACUUUUAAACAAAGCACAUGCAUUAAAGGAGGCUUUAUUUUUAACUGUAAUUUUAAACUGAUAUAAGAGCUGUUUUAAGCUUUGCUUUUAAUUUAGAGUUAAACAAAUACAUGUACUAAUCUUUCUUAGCAAAAUCACAAUGUAUUUAACGUUUAUUUAACAUUACAUGGUGAACUACUUUGCCUCAAAGUCAAAUACGCAUUUUCGCAGCCACUCUUCUUUAAAUUCUUGUCGUCCAAUGGGAUUGUACCCCGCGGUGCAUUUUAUGCGCGCGAAGAAGUUAAGAUUGUGCACGACGGUUAUUCGACAUCAUGGCUGACUCACUGCUGAUACUGUCGACGGAGGAUCUUCUUCAAGAAUUGAAAGAAGCUGGAAUAAACGUCACUGAAGACGAAGCAAAGAAAUUCAGUGGUAAGUUUUGUUUUAAGUACUGUAAAAAUCCGUUGAUUCAAGUUCACUUGACAUUGCGUCUGUAGCUAGGCCUAGCGUUACCUGACGCGUGAGGGAAAACUUUCUUCGAAAAUACUGACCUGACAAAACCAACGCAUUAUUACAUUUAAGCUUAUUGUUAUUAUUACAGUUGUUUUUAUUAUGUAGACAGAAACUAAGAUGUACAUUUUCGCAUAACUUAUACUCUACCGCGACAGCGCUCAAGACGCUGAACAGGCCAUAGAAACAAUUCAAAAUCAUCCUGUUUUCUGUGAAUCGGCAGAUCUAAUAUUCAGUUUCCCAGAAUUUUCUUACUACUCUAACGUUACCCACUAAACAUUGGACGUCGUAGUGACGUGACCCUGACCGACGGACCCAAUAUAGACAUGAUCUGCACGUCUAUCCGACGUCUAGUGUUUAGUGGGUAACGUUAGCCGUGUUCACUCCGGACGCGAGCCUGUCCGGUUUUAUUUUAACGUCUCUCCUAAUCAGUCUGAAAUUCUAUAAUUUACGAAUAUAAUCCGUGUUGAUUAAUAUCAGUUUUAUUUGGUAUACGUUCUAAACAUAAGAGUCAUUUGUCUUGUCACAUCGAGGAGUAACGUUACGUCGGCAUUGAGCCCUUCCAAGGACAACAAGUGAAAUGUGUUUAACAUUACCGUUAUUUAUCAAAACUGGUAUACUCGUGAAAUAAGUUCUUUGAGCUGCUAAUUUAAAAUUUUUUUGCUUCUGAUCAGUCACUCUCAGAAAAAAAAUGCAUUUCUCUGUUAGUACGUUAAGUGUACAUAUACCUUUACCGUUAAGUGUACCUUUUAGCUUUUGUACCUUAGGGUACUACCCAAGUGACAGUUUUGUACCUUUUUCUGAGAGUGUAACGUUAUGCCAGAGGUUCUCAGCUCUGGCUGGCGAGAUGCAUUUUCCUGCAAAGUUUAGCUCCAACCUUGAUCAAGCUCACCUGCCUGUAACUUUCUAGUGAUCCUAAGGACCUUAAUUAACUUGUUCAGGUGUGUGUGAUUAGGACUGGAGCUGAAAAUUUAGCAGGAAAAUGGAUCUUGCGGGCCAGAGUUGAGGACCCCUGGUGUAUACGUACAAAGUUAUUGUGUAUUUUUCUUUUAUUGUGGAUUAAAUGUUAAUUGAAAAAGACAUUGAUUUUAUUGUUGCUGUUAACCUCAAGCUGACACUGAUCAUUCUUUUUUUUUUUUUUUUGGAUACACGAGCUGAAGGAGGUGGUUACAAUAACACUAGAACCAGUGCCAGCAGAAUCCUAUCAACAAACUUUGACUACAGAAAUUUGUGUGAUGAAGUUGAUCGGAUGCGUUCAUCAGCUGUCAGUUUAAGCCAGCGCUUCAAGGAAGGCUUUACCAGUAUUGUGCCAAAAGUGCUUGAGCUUCAAAGAAAUACUCCAUUGGCCAAAAUCUACAAAGAAGCAAGAGAAUAGAUUCUUGCUGAAGAUCUACCAGCACUGAUUCUGCUGCCCCACAUCUUUAAAGAGAAAGCUGAGAGCUUAAACACAUUGGGAGAGUCUGAUGCUGAUAAUCCAUACCCAACCAUACAGUUGGUAGAAACUGACUGGAAAAUGGCUUUCUCCAAGAGGGUUCAAGUCCUUGUCAAAGCAGAUGGUGUGGAGGUGUGCAGGGGAAUAGGAGUUGAAGAAGGGAUACUUGCAGCCUUCAGUGCUUACUAUGUUUUCAACUUCGCUUAUCCACCCUACAUGAAGAAUACAAUGACCUUCCUGCAGCAUGCCAUAGCAAAGAUUACUGAGGUGGGUGGCAAGCCCCUUCCAAUAACUGUCACCCCGAGUACUUAAUAUACUGUGCUAAAAAUGCCACAACCAUAUCGAUGCACAAGGUGUAGAAGAAAAACCUUCACCUUAAUGAAACUAGUUCAACAUGUUGGUCUGGUUCACAACCAUGAACCCAAUUUCAGCAUCACCUGUGGACUGAAUAACUGCAAGUCAUCUUUUACAAUAUCUAUCUGUCUAUCGAAAGCAUAGGAAGCUUGUUCUACCUCCUGAUGAUAUGAAUGCUACUGAAAACAUGGACAAUGACGAUGAUUUUGAAAACAUGGACUGUCACAAUGAUCUGGAGAAUACUAUUGAGCUACAGCCUAGGGCAGACGAAAUGCAUCCACCUAGUAGGAAUGAGCUUUUGACAAAUUUUGAAGAAAAUCUCUUCAGUUUUAUUCUAAAAUGUAGAGAAAAAAAUCACAUUCCACAGACUGUCCAGCAGGAAAUAGUGAAUGACAUCAAUUUUUUUUCAACAUUGAGAGUGUUUCAAAUGUGACCGUUGACAGUAUGAAGUAUGCUUUAAAAGAUGUAUUCAUAGUUGACUAUGUCCACACAGAGGAAAUUCCUCUAUUUUUUCAAAUUAAAUACAUUUUAAAUGUCAACACUGUAUGUUUUCUGUGCGGCAAGUUUUUAAUACCAGUGUCGUAUGAUUCACACUUUCAUGCGUACACAGUUAAAGUUGACUUUGAAUGGAGUGUAAUAAAACCAGGGCAAGAGAUGGACUUUCAGGCCCUUGAUACGUACUCUGCUAAUGAUAAAUUGUUUGUGAUACUCAAGAAUGUUUAAAACAUUCAAAUUAAAUGUGUAGUACUGUGUUUAUGAUCAAAUGUUUUAAGGGUAUAAAGUUACAAUUAAUAUGUACUGUGUACAAAAGAUUGCUUUGUGAUUCUUGAUGUUCAAAAUUCGUUUUAGAAAAUUUAGAAUGUAGUAGAAAAAUGUACAGUACUUAACAUGAGAUCUAGUGCUGUUUUAAAAAAGUGAAAUUACUAUUCUUAAUGUUACAUGUUUUAAUACAGUAAAAAAAAAUAAAUGGAAAUAAAAAAUAAAAUGGAAAUACAGAUUUUGGAAAAAAGUUUAUAAUGUUAAGCUUGAUAUUUUUGCUGUUUACAAUUUUUAUAAAAGGUUUUACAUGGUUAAAAAGAGUAUAAAAAAUUGUUCACUAUGCAUCCUUUUGCCACAUUGUGAUAAUUAAAACAUUGAUCCUGUGAAAAAUAUGAGAAUGUAAUAGUUUUGAAUGUUCAGUAAAUGUCAUGAAUAGCAUUUUGGCCUUUUUAAUGUGUUGUAUGGAGUACAGAUUUGCCAUCACAAGGUACAAAAUGCUUGUCACUGGGGCAGUACCCUAAAAAGGACACAUUUGCACCUUUUUUAAAGGUACACUAUGGUACCAUAGCACUGUAAAGUACAAUUUAGUCAGCAGGAGGUACAUAUUUGCCUUUUAAAGGUACAUACUGCAAGGGUACAGAUAUGUACCCAUGUGAAAGGGUACAACAGGUGUACCCUUGAGGGUACUGCCCCAGU